rnacentral:rRNA from 1 species
GACGAACGCUGGCGGCGUGCUUAACACAUGCAAGUCGAACGGAAAGGCCCUGCUUUUGUGGGGUGCUCGAGUGGCGAAGGGGUGAGUAACACGCGAGUAAAAUGCACUUGUAUUUGGGAUAACUUUAGGAAAAUGGGGCUCAUACCGGAUAGGAGCUCCUGCUGCAUGGGGGGGGUUGGAAAGUUUCGGCGGUUGGGGAUGGAAUCGCGGCUUAUCAGCUUGUUGGUGGGGUAGUGGCUUACCAAGGCUUUGACGGGUAGCCGGCCUGAGAGGGUGGCCGGCCACAUUGGGCCUGAGAUACGGCCCAGACUCCUACGGGAGGCAGCAGUGGGAAAUAUUGCACAAUGGGCGGAAGCCUGAUGCGACAACGCCGCGUGCGGGAUGACGUCCUUCGGGUUGUAAACCGCUUUCGCCGUUGACGAAGCGUGAGUGACGGUAAUGGGUAAAGAAGCACCGGCUAACUACGUG